UUCCAGACUCCUACGGGAGGCAGCAGUGGGGAAUAUUGCACAAUGGGGGAAACCCUGAUGCAGCGACGCCGCGUGAGUGAAGAAGUAUUUCGGUAUGUAAAGCUCUAUCAGCAGGGAAGAAAAUGACGGUACCUGAUUAAGAAGCCCCGGCUAACUACGUGCCAGCAGCCGCGGUAAUACGUAGGGGGCAAGCGUUAUCCGGAUUUACUGGGUGUAAAGGGAGCGUAGACGGUGAUGCAAGUCAGAAGUGAAAGCCCGGGGCUCAACUCCGGGACUGCUUUUGAAACUGUGUAACUGGAGUGCAGGAGAGGUAAGCGGAAUUCCUGGUGUAGCGGUGAAAUGCGUAGAUAUCAGGAGGAACACCAGUGGCGAAGGCGGCUUACUGGACUGUAACUGACGUUGAGGCUCGAAAGCGUGGGGAGCAAACAGGAUUAGAUACCCUAGUA
rnacentral:rRNA from 1 species